AGAGUUUGAUCCUGGCUCAGGACGAACGCUGGCGGCGUGCCUAAUACAUGCAAGUCGAACGCACUCUCGUUUAGAUUGAAGGAGCUUGCUCCUGAUUGAUAAACAUUUGAGUGAGUGGCGGACGGGUGAGUAACACGUGGGUAACCUGCCCUAAAGUGGGGGAUAACAUUUGGAAACAGAUGCUAAUACCGCAUAAAACCUAACACCGCAUGGUGUAGGGUUGAAAGAUGGUUUCGGCUAUCACUUUAGGAUGGACCCGCGGUGUAUUAGUUAGUUGGUGAGGUAAAGGCUCACCAAGACCGUGAUGCAUAGCCGACCUGAGAGGGUAAUCGGCCACACUGGGACUGAGACACGGCCCAGACUCCUACGGGAGGCAGCAGUAGGGAAUCUUCCACAAUGGACGAAAGUCUGAUGGAGCAACGCCGCGUGAGUGAAGAAGGUUUUCGGAUCGUAAAACUCUGUUGUUGGAGAAGAAUGUAUCUGAUAGUAACUGAUCAGGUAGUGACGGUAUCCAACCAGAAAGCCACGGCUAACUACGUGCCAGCAGCCGCGGUAAUACGUAGGUGGCAAGCGUUGUCCGGAUUUAUUGGGCGUAAAGCGAGCGCAGGCGGUUUCUUAAGUCUGAUGUGAAAGCCUUCGGCUCAACCGAAGAAGUGCAUCGGAAACUGGGAAACUUGAGUGCAGAAGAGGACAGUGGAACUCCAUGUGUAGCGGUGAAAUGCGUAGAUAUAUGGAAGAACACCAGUGGCGAAGGCGGCUGUCUGGUCUGUAACUGACGCUGAGGCUCGAAAGCAUGGGUAGCAAACAGGAUUAGAUACCCUGGUAGUCCAUGCCGUAAACGAUGAGUGCUAGGUG
rnacentral:rRNA from 1 species